AGAGCCCAGGCCUCCUCCUCCCAUGCUACAGACAUUCAUGCUUGGUGAAGUGCUGUGCAGAGUCCAACCAGCGGUAGAUGGAGCAGCCACUCCCAUUUUGUAAAAAAUAGAAACCAUGUCUGGCUCCCGAGUUACCAUCAGGGGGCGCCCUUGUGCAAGGCGCUGGGCACGCAAAGCCUUCGAAGGCUCCAGGAUGAAGGAGGUGGAGCCCUGAGAAGCCAAGAAGGUCACCCACGUUCACACAGCUGGAAAGCACCGCUUAGGGCAGAAUUGCUAUUCCGAGUGCCAGCACAUCCCUUGCUGUACCAAAGCCAAGGAGAAGAGUGAGAUGACCUGUGAUGGAGACGGGGAGUGGAGGCACAAAACAAGCAGCAGGAACCA
rnacentral:lncRNA from 1 species